AGAGUUUGAUCCUGGCUCAGAUUGAACGCUGGCGGUAUGCUUAACACAUGCAAGUCGAACGGUAACAGGCUAGCUUGCUAGCGCUGACGAGUGGCGGACGGGUGCGUAACGCGUAGGAAUCUGCCUAUUAGUGGGGGACAACAUGGUGAAAACCAUGCUAAUACCGCAUACGCCCUACGGGGGAAAGCGGGGGAUCUUCGGACCUCGCGCUAAUAGAUGAGCCUGCGUUAGAUUAGCUUGUUGGUGAGGUAAUGGCUCACCAAGGCGACGAUCUAUAGCUGUUCUGAGAGGAAGAUCAGCCACACUGGGACUGAGACACGGCCCAGACUCCUACGGGAGGCAGCAGUGGGGAAUAUUGGACAAUGGGCGAAAGCCUGAUCCAGCAAUACCGCGUGUGUGAAGAAGGCCUGAGGGUUGUAAAGCACUUUCAAUUGGGAGGAAAACAGGCAGGUCAAUAUCCUGUCUCUUGACAUUACCUUUAGAAGAAGCACCGGCUAACUCCGUGCCAGCAGCCGCGGUAAUACGGAGGGUGCGAGCGUUAAUCGGAAUUACUGGGCGUAAAGAGUUCGUAGGUGGUUAGUUAAGUUAGAUGUGAAAGCCCCGGGCUCAACCUGGGAACUGCAUUUAAAACUGGCAAACUAGAGUUUAGGAGAGGGAAGUGGAAUUUCAGGUGUAGCA
rnacentral:rRNA from 1 species